GGUUUAUGGCUCAGUGGUAGAGCGCUUGCUUAGUGCAUGCAAGGCCCUGUGUUCAAUCCUUAGCACCA
rnacentral:tRNA from 1 species